rnacentral:rRNA from 1 species
UACGGGAGGGCAGCAGUGGGGAAGUAUUGCACAAUGGGCGCAAGCCUGAUGCAGCCAUGCCGCGUGUAUGAAGAAGGCCUUCGGGUUGUAAAGUACUUUCAGUCGUGAGGAAGGUGUUAAGGUUAAUAACCUUAGCAAUUGACGUUAGCGACAGAAGAAGCACCGGCUAACUCCGUGCCAGCAGCCGCGGUAAUACGGAGGGUGCGAGCGUUAAUCGGAAUUACUGGGCGUAAAGGGCACGCAGGCGGUUAAUUAAGUUGGAUGUGAAAUCCCCGGGCUUAACCUGGGAAUGGCAUUCAAGACUGGUUAGCUAGAGUCUUGUAGAGGGGGUAGAAUUCCAUGUGUAGCGGUGAAAUGCGUAGAGAUGUGGAGGAAUACCGGUGGCGAAGGCGGCCCCUGGACAAAGACUGACGCUCAUGUGCGAAAGCGUGGGGAGCAAACGAGGAUUAGAUA